UACGGAGGGUGCAAGCGUUAUCCGGAUUCACUGGGUUUAAAGGGUGCGUAGGAGGGCAGGUAAGUCAGUGGUGAAAUCUUCGAGCUUAACUCGGAAACUGCCGUGGAUACUAUCUGUCUUGAAUGCCGUGGAGAUGAGCGGAAUAUGUCAUGUAGCGGUGAAAUGCUUAGAUAUGACAUAGAACACCAAUUGCGAAGGCAGCUCGUUACACGAACAUUGACUCUGAGGCACGAAAGCGUGGGGAUCAAACAGG
rnacentral:rRNA from 1 species